GCAUUUANCUAAUAAUUGGGGGGAUAGGGUCGGGGNAACUCGAAUUAAUACCGCAUACGACCUACGGGAGAAAGGGGGNAACUUGUUGCUCUCGCUAUUAGAUGAGCCUAAGUCGGAUUAUCUAGAUGGUGGGGUAAAGGCCUACCAUGGCGACGAUCUGUAGCUGGUCUGAGAGGAUGAUCAGCCACACCGGGACUGAGACACGGCCCGGACCCCUACGGGAGGCAGCAGUGGGGAAUAUUGGACAAUGGGGGAAACCCUGAUCCAGCCAUGCCGCGUGUGUGAAGAAGGCCUUUUGGUUGUAAAGCACUUUAAGCAGUGAAGAAGACUCCAUGGUUAAUACCCAUGGACGAUGACAUUAGCUGCAGAAUAAGCACCGGCUAACUCUGUGCCAGCAGCCGCGGUAAUACAGAGGGUGCAAGCGUUAAUCGGAAUUACUGGGCGUAAAGGGAGCGUAGGUGGCUUGAUAAGUCAGAUGUGAAAUCCCCGGGCUUAACCUGGGAACUGCAUCUGAAACUGUAGAGCUAGAGUAUGUGAGAGGAAGGUAGAAUUCCAGGUGUAGCGGUGAAAUGCCGUAGAGAUCCUGGAGGAAUACCGAUGGGCGAAGGCAGCCUUCUGGCAUAAUACUGACACUGAGGCUCGAAAGCGUGGGUAGCAAACAGGAUUAGAUACCCUGGUAGUCCACGCCGUAAACGAUGUCUACUAGUCGUUGGGUCCCUUGAGGACUUAGUGACGCAGCUAACGCAAUAAGUAGACCGCCUGGGGAGUACGGCCGCAAGGUUAAAACUCAAAUGAAUUGACGGGGGCCCGCACAAGCGGUGGAGCAUGUGGUUUAAUUCGAUGCAACGCGAAGAACCUUACCUGGUCUUGACAUAUCUAGAAUCCUGCAGAGAUGCGGGAGUGCCUUCGGGAAUUAGAAUACAGGUGCUGCAUGGCUGUCGUCAGCUCGUGUCGUGAGAUGUUGGGUUAAGUCCCGCAACGAGCGCAACCCUUGUCCUUAGUUACCAGCGGGUUAAGCCGGGAACUCUAAGGAUACUGCCAGUGACAAACUGGAGGAAGGCGGGGACGACGUCAAGUCAUCAUGGCCCUUACGACCAGGGCU
rnacentral:rRNA from 1 species